AGCAGCUCCAGCUUUAGCUGUAGCAAAAGCAGCAGCGGAUCUUUGUUGCAGGCGCAAUAAGUGCAGCAUGUAACCGUUGCCAACACCGCGUGCGAGUCAAAUUCCAAAGAAAACAAGUUAGCGUUGUGCCAACUGGAGAUCGCCGGGGACGGGGACAGGGACGAAACGGAACGAGACGAGGAAAGUCCAGAGGCUAACACCAGCCUCGUUUCAACUCCUCCCUCCACGUCUCUAGGGUCCCUCUUGUAACCCGAAUGUUUACGGUGCUCAAGCACGUUUCACCAUAUUUCUACUACUCCCAGGCAAUCUGACGACCCAGGAAAUCGACAGUUCCACGGACUCGCUUAACAGGACCAGUGCUAACACGAUGACGUCGCACCCACCGAUGAGCAUCUCUUCACCUUUAACAGGAAGUGUAUUCACGUUCACCAGUUUUCAAUUUAGACAUUAUUUAUGAUACACAUAUAACGAAUAAUCAAUGACGUAUGGAUAAUUCAUUAUGUCCUCAUGUCUAGUAUUUAUUGAAAUGACUGAUUGUAAAUCAAAAACGUAAUAUUGAAAUGAAAAUACAUCUUGUGAAUGAUAAUGGAACGUUCGUAAUUUAGUCACCGAUAUUGUAACAGAGCAAUUGUUGAAUUUAUCUUUCCUGCGUAAUGUAUCA
rnacentral:lncRNA from 1 species